UACGUAGGGGGCAAGCGUUAUCCGGAUUUACUGGGUGUAAAGGGAGCGUAGACGGCGAUGCAAGCCAGAUGUGAAAGCCCGGGGCUCAACCCCGGGACUGCAUUUGGAACUGUGUGGCUGGAGUGUCGGAGAGGCAAGUGGAAUUCCUAGUGUAGCGGUGAAAUGCGUAGAUAUUAGGAGGAACACCGGUGGCGAAGGCGGCCUGCUGGACUGCAACUGACGUUGAGGCCCGAAAGCGUGGGGAGCAAACAGG
rnacentral:rRNA from 1 species